GUUCAUUUCCAUCGUGGCGAUUGCUGGAAGAACACAACCAGACGUCGUCGAACACGGACGAGCGGGCCUGACCCUUCGCUGCCUGUGGAGAACAUGCGACCUGCGAGCGUCAUAUGGUGCGGAUAAAAUCACAUGGAUAUGGAGGCCACAAGAUAUCAUAUCAAGCAAAUUGUUGAGUAUCGAAUGGCCAAGUAUCGAAUAAAAUUGAAUGCUGACUCACUUCACCGGGAAUCGCUCUGAAAAUAAUUUAAAAAAUACUUUCAACCACUGCUGCUCUGCUCACUGACCCCUUCACCAGGAAUCGCUCUGAAAAUAAUUUAAAAAAUACUUUCAACCACUGCUGCUCUGCUCACUGACCCCUUCACCAGGAAUCGCUCUGAAAAUAAUUUAAAAAGUCCUUGCAACUACUGCUCUGCACACUGACCCCUUCACGAGGAAUCACUUUGAAAAUAAUCUAAAAAGUCCUUACAACUACUGCUGCUCUGCACUCACUACUUCGCCAGGAAUAUUUCCAGAAACAUUUUACCAGAUCUUCUCGAUCCAACUAUUACUGCCCUGAAGCUCUAACACGUGAAUGACUCGCAAGUGGUUUUUUUUAAUAACUGCCUAUAAUUAUGCACGAUUAACUUAACUCUUAUUAACUCAAUAACAUGACUAACCUCACUAACUUAAGCAGUUAUUAUAAAUACCACUUGUUGGGUUUUACUAUGAAGAUUUUACUGAGGUUGCUUGGAAGACGGGGGUGAAUGAUUAAUCAGGGUAAACGACAACUUCAACCCAAGUGGUAAACUCUCAAGUUGCUCAUGAGUGAGAACAAUCAUUUCAUCUACUAAUUAUGCUGUCCGUCCGUCCGUCUUGUCACCAAAGAAGAUGCCUACUG